CCUACGGGCGGCAGCAGUGGGGAAUAUUGGACAAUGGGCGAAAGCCUGAUCCAGCCAUGCCGCGUGUGUGAAGAAGGCCUUCGGGUUGUAAAGCAUUUUCAGUGGGGAAGAAAGCCUUGGGGCUAAUACCCUCGAGGAAGGACAUCACCCACAGAAGAAGCACCGGCUAACUCCGUGCCAGCAGCCGCGGUAAUACGGAGGGUGCGAGCGUUAAUCGGAAUUACUGGGCGUAAAGCGCGCGUAGGCGGUCUGAUAAGCCGGUUGUGAAAGCCCCGGGCUCAACCUGGGAACGGCAUCCGGAACUGUCAGGCUAGAGUGCAGGAGAGGAAGGUAGAAUUCCCGGUGUAGCGGUGAAAUGCGUAGAGAUCGGGAGGAAUACCAGUGGCGAAGGCGGCCUUCUGGACUGACACUGACGCUGAGGUGCGAAAGCGUGGGUAGCAAACAGGAUUAGAUACCCCGGUAGUC
rnacentral:rRNA from 1 species